rnacentral:lncRNA from 1 species
GACCACAAAAACAUAUUGAUGUUUACUCACAACUGUGCCCAGCUACAUCCAAGCAGCUGUACCAUACAAUGUGCAUGUGCUCAGAAGAGCUGAACACCACAGAU